AGAGUUUGAUCCUGGCUCAGGAUGAACGCUGGCGGCGUGCCUAAUACAUGCAAGUCGAACGCUUCACAUAUGUGAAGAGUGGCGAACGGGUGAGUAAUACAUAAGUAACCUGGCCUUUACAGGGGGAUAACUGUUGGAAACGAUAGCUAAGACCGCAUAGGUGUCAUAACCGCAUGGAGAUGAUAUGAAAUAUGCUACGGCAUAGGUAGAGGAUGGACUUAUGGCGCAUUAGCUAGUUGGAGGGGUAACGGCCCACCAAGGCGACGAUGCGUAGCCGACCUGAGAGGGUGACCGGCCACACUGGGACUGAGACACGGCCCAGACUCCUACGGGAGGCAGCAGUAGGGAAUUUUCGGCAAUGGGGGAAACCCUGACCGAGCAACGCCGCGUGAAGGAAGAAGUAAUUCGUUAUGUAAACUUCUGUCAUAGAGGAAGAACGGUGCGUGUAGGGAAUGACAUGCAAGUGACGGUACUCUAUAAGAAAGCCACGGCUAACUACGUGCCAGCAGCCGCGGUAAUACGUAGGUGGCGAGCGUUAUCCGGAAUUAUUGGGCGUAAAGAGGGAGCAGGCGGCACUAAGGGUCUGUGGUGAAAGAUCGAAGCUUAACUUCGGUAAGCCAUGGAAACCGUAGAGCUAGAGUGUGUGAGAGGAUCGUGGAAUUCCAUGUGUAGCGGUGAAAUGCGUAGAUAUAUGGAGGAACACCAGUGGCGAAGGCGACGAUCUGGCGCAUAACUGACGCUCAGUCCCGAAAGCGUGGGGAGCAAAUAGGAUUAGAUACCCUAGUAGUCCACGCCGUAAACGAUGAGAACCUGAUGCAGGAGAUAUUCUGUGUCGAAGCUAACGCGUUAAGUUCUCCGCCUGGGUACUACGUUCGCAAGAAUAAAACUUAAAGGAAUUGACGGGCGCCCGCACAAGCAGUGGAGCAUGGGGUUUAAUUCGUCGAUACACGAAAAACCUUACCAGGGCUUGACAUCCCGCUAAAAGCCUUAGAAAUAAGGAAAUAGUUAUAGCGGUGACAGGUGGUGCAUGGUUGUCGUCAGCUCGUGCCGUGAGGUGUUAGGUUAAGUCCUCAAACGAGCGCAACCCUUGUCUUUAGUUGCCAUUAUUAAUUUAGGAACUCUAGAGAGACUGCCGGCGCAAGCCGGAGGAAGGCGGGGAUGACGUCAAAUCAUCAUGCCCUUUAUGCCCUGGGCCACACCCGUGCUACAAUGGUCGGUACAAAGAGAAGCAACACUGUGAGGUGAAGCAAAUCCCAUAAAGCCGAUCUCAAUUCGGAUUGAAGUCUGCAACUCGACUUCAUGAAGCUGGAAUUGCUAGUAAUCGCAGAUCAGCAACGCUGCGGUGAAUACGUUCUCGGGCGUUGUACACACUGCCCGUCACACCAUGAGAGCCGGUAAUACUCGAAGUCGUUAGCCUAACCGUAAGGAGGGCGGCGCCUAAGGUAGGACUGGUGAUUGGGGUUAAGUCGUAACAAGGUAUCCCUACGAGAACGUGGGGAUG
rnacentral:rRNA from 1 species